UACGUAGGGUCCAAGCGUUAUCCGGAAUCACUGGGCGUAAAGCGUGUGUAGGCGGCGAUUCGCGUGCAAUGCGAAAUCCUGUGGCUCAACCAUAUGGACUGUAUUGUAUACGGGAUUGCUGGAGGUCGGCAGAGGCAAGUGGAAUUAGUAGUGUAGCAGUGAAAUGCGUAGAGAUUACUAGGAACACCAAAUGGCGAAGGCAGCUUGCUGGGCCGUACCUGACGCUGAGGAGCGAAAAGCGUGGGGGAGCAAACAGG
rnacentral:rRNA from 1 species